UUAACGGUCCUUUUAAGGACCACAAUAUUUUCAUAAACUUAGCG
rfam:Nasonia vitripennis chromosome 3 unlocalized genomic scaffold Chr3_random063, whole genome shotgun sequence.